rnacentral:rRNA from 1 species
AGAGUUUGAUCAUGGCUCAGGACGAACGCUGGCGGCGUGCCUAACACAUGCAAGUGGAGCGACGAACCAGGGCUUGCCCUGGGCAAAGCCGCGAACGGGUGAGUAACACGUGGGUAACCUGCCCUGAUGAUUGGGACAACCCGGGGAAACUCGGGCUAAUACCAAAUGUGCUCAGCAGCCACAAGGCUGCUUGAGGAAAGGUAGCUUCGGCUUCCGCAUCAGGAUGGGCCCGCGGCCCAUUAGCUUGUUGGUGGGGUAAUGGCCUACCAAGGCGACGAUGGGUAGCUGGUCUGAGAGGAUGAUCAGCCACACUGGGACUGAGACACGGCCCAGACUCCUACGGGAGGCAGCAGUGGGGAAUCUUGCGCAAUGCGCGAAAGCGUGACGCAGCAACGCCGCGUGGAGGAAGACGGCCUUCGGGUUGUAAACUCCUUUCAGUUGGGACGAAGCUUCGGCGGUGAAUAGCCGUUCGGAGUGACGGUACCUUCAGAAGAAGCCCCGGCUAACUACGUGCCAGCAGCCGCGGUAAUACGUAGGGGGCGAGCGUUGUCCGGAAUCAUUGGGCGUAAAGCGCGUGUAGGCGGCUCGGUAAGUCUGCUGUGAAAGUCCAGGGCUCAACCCUGGAAUGCCGGUGGAAACUGCCGAGCUCGAGUCCGGAAGAGGCGAGUGGAAUUCCUGGUGUAGCGGUGAAAUGCGC